UGCUUUGUAGCUUGGAGGUAAGAAGCGCCCGUCUAGCGAAUUGAGGCCGUGGGUUCGAUUCCCACCGGAGCAC
rnacentral:tRNA from 1 species